rnacentral:rRNA from 1 species
UGGGGAAUUUUGGACAAUGGGGGAAACCCUGAUCCAGCCAUCCCGCGUGUGCGAUGAAGGCCUUCGGGUUGUAAAGCACUUUUGGCAGGAAAGAAACGUCGCGGGUUAAUACCCCGCGAAACUGACGGUACCUGCAGAAUAAGCACCGGCUAACUACGUGCCAGCAGCCGCGGUAAUACGUAGGGUGCAAGCGUUAAUCGGAAUUACUGGGCGUAAAGCGUGCGCAGGCGGUUCGGAAAGAAAGAUGUGAAAUCCCAGAGCUUAACUUUGGAACUGCAUUUUUAACUACCGGGCUAGAGUGUGUCAGAGGGAGGUGGAAUUCCGCGUGUAGCAGUGAAAUGCGUAGAUAUGCGGAGGGACACCGAUGGCGAAGGCAGCCUCCUGGGAUAACACUGACGCUCAUGCACGAAAGCGUGGGGAGCAAACAGGAUUAGAUACCCUGGUAGUCCACGCCCUAAACGAUGUCAACUAGCUGUUGGGGGCCUUCGGGGCCUUGGUAGCGCAGCUAACGCGUGAAGUUGACCGCCUGGGGAGUACGGUCGCAAGAUUAAAACUUAAAGGAAUUGACGGGGGUCAUAGCUGUUUCCCU